AUACUUACCUGGACGGGGUCUAUGGGUGAUCAGGAAGAUCCAUGGUCUAGGGUAGUGACCUCCAUUGCACUUAGGAGGGGUGCUCCCCUAAGGUCUCCCCAAGUUGGGAGAGCCUACGUCAUCAUUUGUGGCAGCGGGGGGCCAGCGUUCGCGCGGCCCCUUC
rfam:Gossypium arboreum cultivar AKA8401 contig_10661_1, whole genome shotgun sequence.